rnacentral:tRNA from 1 species
ACUUAAAUAGCUCAUGACAGAGCAUGGCAUUGAAGAUGCUAGGGAAAUUAAUUUUAAUUUUUAAGUA